GUCACACAAUGCGCCUCGCUUGCAAACUGGUGUCCCGCAGUCCCUCCAUGUUGCUGGUUUCCUGGGAGAGGAAUCAACCAGAUGUCAUCUAUAGUCACAAUGUGACUUUGUACCAUGUUGAACUAGGCUCCUAUAACACGCAUACUUUGGAUGUUACCACUCACAACCACUACCGCUUCUCUGCUCUGGACCCCUGCACCCUCUACAUGGCCUGUGUGGAGAUUGCAGACACUCUCUCCUUAGCAUGCCUCUCUACUAUUACUGAUCCAGAUGUUCCAGAGAACUUUGAGGUUACAUCAUGGAACAGCAGCAGCAUAUCUUUAUCCUGGGACUGCCCUGUGAACAGCAAGUACUCGGUCUUCCUUCUCACUGCCUUCCACCUCAACGG
ensembl:lncRNA